UACAGAGGUGGCAAGCGUUGUUCGGAAUUACGGGGCGUAAAGGGCGCGUAGGCGGUCUUGUAAGUCUUGUGUGAAAUCCCUCGGCUUAACUGAGGAACUGCACGAGAUACUGCGAGACUUGAGUUCGGGAGAGGAAAGCGGAAUUCCGGGUGUAGCGGUGAAAUGCGUAGAUAUCCGGAGGAACACCGGUGGCGAAGGCGGCUUUCUGGACCGACACUGACGCUGAGGCGCGAAAGCCGGGGGAGCAAACGGG
rnacentral:rRNA from 1 species